rnacentral:rRNA from 1 species
GACGAACGCUGGCGGCGUGCUUAACACAUGCAAGUCGAACGGUGAAGCGCUUUCCUUUUUGGUUGGUGUGGAUGAGUGGCGAACGGGUGAGUAACACGUGAGUAACCUGCCCCCUUCUUCUGGAUAACCGCAUGAAAGUGUGGCUAAUACGGGAUAUUCUGCGCCUGCUGCAUGGUGGGUGUGGGAAAGAUUGUGCCUUUGGGUGUUUUCGGUGGGGGAUGGGCUCGCGGCCUAUCAGCUUGUUGGUGGGGUGAUGGCCUACCAAGGCGGUGACGGGUAGCCUGCGUGAGAGGGUGGACGCGCACACUGAGACUGAGACACGGCCCAGACUCCUACGGAAGGCAGCAGUGGGGAAUAUUGGACAAUGGGGGCAAGCCUGAUGCAGCGACGCCGCGUGAGGGAUGGAGGCCUUCGGGUUGUGAACCUCUUUCGCCAGUGAAGCAGGCCUGCGCCUUGUGGGUGGGUUGACGGUAGCUGGAUAAGAAGCGCCGGCUAACUACGU